GGGGUUGUGGCUCAGAGGUACAGCGCUCGCCUAGCAUGUGUGAGCCCCUGGGUUCAACCCUCAGCACCACA
rnacentral:tRNA from 1 species